CCGAAACCGACUUGGAAACAACUGCAGACGGGACCAAGGGAGAAUCGGAAGGAAGAGACCAAAGGGUGAAAGCGUUUCUAAGAGUCGAUGAUAAAAAAUAGCUUAGAAACCCACCAAGGAAAUAAGAGAAAAUUUCCAAGGCGCUAAAGAAAAUCUCACUUUAGACCCCUGAGGACCUCGGACUAAGACA
rfam:SAR86 cluster bacterium SAR86B genomic scaffold Contig_3, whole genome shotgun sequence.